GGUUAAGCGACUAAGCGUACACGGUGGAUGCCCUGGCAGUCAGAGGCGAUGAAGGACGUGCUAAUCUGCGAUAAGCGUCGGUAAGGUGAUAUGAACCGUUAUAACCGGCGAUUUCCGAAUGGGGAAACCCAGUGUGUUUCGACACACUAUCAUUAACUGAAUCCAUAGGUUAAUGAGGCGAACCGGGGGAACUGAAACAUCUAAGUACCCCGAGGAAAAGAAAUCAACCGAGAUUCCCCCAGUAGCGGCGAGCGAACGGGGAGCAGCCCAGAGCCUGAAUCAGUGUGUGUGUUAGUGGAAGCGUCUGGAAAGGCGUGCGAUACAGGGUGACAGCCCCGUACACAAAAAUGCACAUGCUGUGAGCUCGAUGAGUAGGGCGGGACACGUGGUAUCCUGUCUGAAUAUGGGGGGACCAUCCUCCAAGGCUAAAUACUCCUGACUGACCGAUAGUGAACCAGUACCGUGAGGGAAAGGCGAAAAGAACCCCGGCGAGGGGAGUGAAAAAGAACCUGAAACCGUGUACGUACAAGCAGUGGGAGCCUCUUUUAUGGGGUGACUGCGUACCUUUUGUAUAAUGGGUCAGCGACUUAUAUUCUGUAGCAAGGUUAACCGAAUAGGGGAGCCGAAGGGAAACCGAGUCUUAACUGGGCGUUAAGUUGCAGGGUAUAGACCCGAAACCCGGUGAUCUAGCCAUGGGCAGGUUGAAGGUUGGGUAACACUAACUGGAGGACCGAACCGACUAAUGUUGAAAAAUUAGCGGAUGACUUGUGGCUGGGGGUGAAAGGCCAAUCAAACCGGGAGAUAGCUGGUUCUCCCCGAAAGCUAUUUAGGUAGCGCCUCGUGAAUUCAUCUCCGGGGGUAGAGCACUGUUUCGGCAAGGGGGUCAUCCCGACUUACCAACCCGAUGCAAACUGCGAAUACCGGAGAAUGUUAUCACGGGAGACACACGGCGGGUGCUAACGUCCGUCGUGAAGAGGGAAACAACCCAGACCGCCAGCUAAGGUCCCAAAGUCAUGGUUAAGUGGGAAACGAUGUGGGAAGGCCCAGACAGCCAGGAUGUUGGCUUAGAAGCAGCCAUCAUUUAAAGAAAGCGUAAUAGCUCACUGGUCGAGUCGGCCUGCGCGGAAGAUGUAACGGGGCUAAACCAUGCAC
rnacentral:rRNA from 1 species